rnacentral:rRNA from 1 species
GACGAACGCUGGCGGCGUGCUUAACACAUGCAAGUCGAGCGGUAAGGCCCUUCGGGGUACACGAGCGGCGAACGGGUGAGUAACACGUGGGUGACCUGCCUCUAGCUCUGGGAUAAGCCUGGGAAACUGGGUCUAAUACCGGAUAUGACUCCACGGCGCAUGUUGUGGGGUGGAAAGCCUUGUGUGGCUAGAGAUGGGCCCGCGGCCUAUCAGCUUGUUGGUGGGGUGAUGCCCUACCAAGGCGACGACGGGUAGCCGGCCUGAGAGGGCGACCGGCCACACUGGGACUGAGACACGGCCCAGACUCCUACGGGAGGCAGCAGUGGGGAAUCUUGCGCAAUGGGCGAAAGCCUGACGCAGCGACGCCGCGUGA